UACAGAGGUCUCAAGCGUUGUUCGGAUUCAUUGGGCGUAAAGGGUGCGUAGGUGGCGCUGUAAGUCGGGUGUGAAAUUUCGGAGCUUAACUCCGAACUGCAUUCGAUACUGCGUGCUUGAGGACUGGGAGAGGAGACUGGAAUUCAUGGUGGUAGCAGUGAAAUGCGUAGAGAUCAUGAGGAAGACCAGUGGCGAAGGCGG
rnacentral:rRNA from 1 species